rnacentral:misc_RNA from 1 species
ACUCAAGAUAUCCCCCAAUGUUGUUCUCGUCAUGAGCAUUGGUUUCAUUGCUUUUGUUGCCAUUCUCCAUGUUAUGGGUAAGCUAUACUUCGUGCGAAGAGAAGCCUAGUGGGUUUUGCCCUGAUAAAGUGUGAUGAAUAUUUAAAUUCAAUGUGACAAAAGUUUAAUUUUGAUCUGAAUUCUCUGUCUUUCAUUACAGUAAAACUAAUUUGGAUUUUGUUACUAGUUAGAAUGAAAGAGUUGUUCUGUUCUGGUCUUA